GUUUUUCCCAAAUAAAAUAUACCCUCAUUCAUCAGGAAAAAAUAUAUAUAUAUAUAUACUGGCAACCUUCAAGCUGAACGAUGCAAAAAAAAAAACUGGUAACAGCAUCAUCCUCACCCGAAAAAUCCCAACCUCCAUGGCCCUAAACAAAUCCAGACCAACCCAGCCGUCCUUCAAGCCUACAAAACCUCAUCAUCAACUCAUUUCCUGUUGAACUCCAACCUAAACUCCAGUUCAGUUUUCUUCUUCUUCUUUUUUCUUGAAGUGAAGAAGGAAAAUUCCGAUUUACUUUGAUCUGUUCCGUUCGUUACAGUUUAUUACAGUCGAUUCCAACCGGUUCCAAGAGAAGGCAAUGCUCAGCCAGAAAAUUUGGAGCCAACUUAUUUUGCACCAAACAACAAAGAUCGAGCGUAUAGGGUGGUUCGCCACUGGUCAUCCUUACAAAAAUUGGAUUGGGCGGUGAUUCUCUCUCUCUCUCUCAUUUUUGUGUUGUUUUGUUUGGUUGAUGAGAAAAUGGAAGAAAUUAAGAAAAUUUUUACUUUUGUCUUUAAAUGGAUGUAAUUAAAUGCUAUACUUUUUUUAAUUAAGGGCAUGUGGUAGUUCUCUUGUGGCAUCAUAGGUAACUAAACGAAGAAGUGUUACAUUAAUAACAUUUUCAGAACAAAUUUUAAAUUGUUUGUUGUUAUUAGGUCUAAUUUGAACUUAUUAUUGAAAUAACAAGAAGUAAUAACGUACCACUUAGAAUUUGUUGUGAAA